AUUCUUCUGACGAGUCCCAAAUAGGACCAAACGCGCGUUUUCUUCUUCUUUCAAAAAU
rnacentral:hammerhead_ribozyme from 1 species